UACGAACGCUGGCGGCGUGCUUAACACAUGCAAGUCGAACGGAAAGGCCCUGCUUUUGUGGGGUGCUCGAGUGGCGAACGGGUGAGUAACACGUGAGUAACCUGCCCUUGACUUUGGGAUAACUUCAGGAAACUGGGGCUAAUACCGGCUAGGAGCUCCUGCUUCAUGGUGGGGGUGGGAAAGUUUCGGCGGUUGGGGAUGGACUCGCGGCUUAGCAGCUUGGUGGUGGGGUAGUGGCUUACCAUGGCUUUGAAGUGUAGCCGACCUGAGCGGGUGACCGGCCACAUUGGGACUGAGAUACGGCCCAGACUCCAACGGGAGGCAGCAGUGGGGAAGAUUACACAAUGGGCUGAAGCCUGAUGCAGCAACGCCGCGUGCGGGAUGACGGCCUUCCCGUUGUAAACCGCUUUCGCCUGUCACGAAGUGUGAGUGACGGUAAUGGGUAAAGAAGCACCGGCUAACUACGUG
rnacentral:rRNA from 1 species